AUUGAACGCUGGCGGCAGGCCUAACACAUGCAAGUCGAACGAGCGGCGGACGGGUGAGUAAUGUCUGGGAAACUGCCCGAUGGAGGGGGAUAACUACUGGAAACGGUAGCUAAUACCGCAUACUAUCGGAUGUGCCCAAAUGGGAUUAGCUAGUAGGUGGGGUAAAGGCUCACCUAGGCGACGAUCCCUAGCUGGUCUGAGAGGAUGACCGGCCACACUGGGACUGAGACACGGCCCAGACUCCUACGGGAGGAAGCAGUGGGGAAUAUUGGGCAAUGGACGAAAGCCUGAUGCAGCCACGCCGCGUGAAUGAAGAAGGUCUUCGGGUUGUAAAGUACUGUCGGUAGAGAAGCGUUAUCUGAAGAAGAAGCACCGGCUAACUACGUGCCAGCAGCCGCGGUAAUUC
rnacentral:rRNA from 1 species